rnacentral:rRNA from 1 species
CUCGCUGUGAAGAUGCAGUGUACCCGCGGCAAGACGGAAAGACCCCGUGAACCUUUACUAUAGCUUGACACUGAACAUUGAGCCUUGAUGUGUAGGAUAGGUGGGAGGCUUUGAAGUGUGGACGCCAGUCUGCAUGGAGCCGACCUUGAAAUACCACCCUUUAAUGUUUGAUGUUCUAACGUGGACCCGUUACCCGGGUUGCGGACAGUGUCUGGUGGGUAGUUUGACUGGGGCGGUCUCCUCCUAAAGAGUAACGGAGGAGCACGAAGGUUGGCUAAUCCUGGUCGGACAUCAGGAGGUUAGUGCAAUGGCAUAAGCCAGCUUGACUGCGAGCGUGACGGCGCGAGCAGGUGCGAAAGCAGGUCAUAGUGAUCCGGUGGUUCUGAAUGGAAGGGCCAUCGCUCAACGGAUAAAAGGUACUCCGGGGAUAACAGGCUGAUACCGCCCAAGAGUUCAUAUCGACGGCGGUGUUUGGCACCUCGAUGUCGGCUCAUCACAUCCUGGGGCUGAAGUAGGUCCCAAGGGUAUGGCUGUUCGCCAUUUAAAGUGGUACGCGAGCUGGGUUUAGAACGUCGUGAGACAGUUCGGUCCCUAUCUGCCGUGGGCGCUGGAGAACUGAGGGGGGCUGCUCCUAGUACGAGAGGACCGGAGUGGACGCAUCACUGGUGUUCGGGUUGUCAUGCCAAUGGCACUGCCCGGUAGCUAAAUGCGGAAGAGAUAAGUGCUGAAAGCAUCUAAGCACGAAACUUGCCCCGAGAUGAGUUCUCCCUGAGACUUAAAGUCUCCUGAAGGAACGUUGAAGACGACGACGUUGAUAGGCCGGGUGUGUAAGCGCAGCGAUGCGUUGAGCUAACCGGUACUAAUGAACCGUGAGGCUUAACCUUACAACGCCGAAG